UACAGAGGUCCCAAGCGUUGUUCGGAUUCAUUGGGCGUAAAGGGUGCGUAGGCGGCGCGGUAAGUCGGGUGUGAAAUCUCGGAGCUUAACUCCGAAACUGCAUUCGAUACUGCCGUGCUUGAGGACUGGAGAGGAGACUGGAAUUUACGGUGUAGCGGUGAAAUGCGUAGAUAUCGUAAGGAAGACCAGUGGCGAAGGCGGCAUCCUGGACCGACACUGACGCUGAGGAGCGAAAGCCAGGGGAGCAAACGGG
rnacentral:rRNA from 1 species